UUAAAACGGAUAAACCUUAAUAAUUAAUAGAUAGGUUCUUGAAAGUUAAUAUUGAUGGCGGUAUCUUAGUCUGUUCAGAGGAAUCUGCCCUGUAAUUGAUAUUCCACGAUUUAAUUUACUUAGGUUUUUAGCUUAUAUAUCGCUGUUUGUAGAGUAUUUUUAUUGGAUUGUUAAUAUUCGUAGGUUUUUUUGAUAGGAUAUCAAGUCAAGAUGUAGCUUAUAUCUAAGAAGAGGUGGAUUACAUUAUUUAUAUAUAUGGUUAAUUAUUAGGAAUGGUAAUUAUAAAUUGGAUUUGAAAGUAAUUUGUUAUUAAAAUUUAAUAAAUGAUUCUGGCUUAGG
rnacentral:rRNA from 1 species